CCUAAAUGAGGAGAACAGUAGGUAAUAAAGUUACAAAUGGGAAAAUAAAGUAAAUGUGAUUCAAAGGAGAUGAGCUAAACAUUAGUCAAGAGUACACAACAGAGAGACUAAGGUGGUAUAUGAGAUGGGAGAAGGAACAAAACUAAGACAAACAGAAAUUAAAGAAGGGAGAAGAUUGUCACAAAUAGCACAUGUGACUACUAGACAGAAAAAGUAUAAACUUAUAAAAGACACUGAUAAUCACAAGUGGAACAGACAAAUUAAUGUCUUAAAC